rnacentral:lncRNA from 1 species
UACCACCCCAAGGGCCAUGCUAUGCACGCUAAUUCACCUAGCAUGCAAACAUCAACAACAGUCCAAAAUGACUUACUCACUAAUUCCUCACCAUGGGAAUUAGCUACCACCAUAGAAGGCCAAAUAUGCAUGUAAUCACCUAGCAAUGCUAAAUCAUCAACCAAAAUUCAAGAAUAGACAUAUGCUCACACUCUAAGCCAUAAAACAGUCUAUUCACAAAUGCCCACAUAACUGAUACAUUCACAAG